GACUGUUUACUAAAAACACAGGACUCUGCUAAGUGGUAACACGAUGUAUAGAGUCUGACACCUGCCUGGUGCUGGAAGGUCAGAACGAGAAGUGUGGUAUGCUUUGAAUGGAAGCCCCGGUAAACGGCAGCGGUAACUCUAACUGUCCUAAGGUAGUGAAAUUCCUUGUCACAUAAGUAGCGACCAUGGCUCCAU
rnacentral:rRNA from 16 species